rnacentral:misc_RNA from 1 species
UGCAAACAAAUAAUUUAUAUAUUUAUGCGUAUGUUGAAAAUUUGUUUGCAUAUAUAAACAAGGGGGGCCAUUCUUUUUAGCGUGGCCAAUUCAACCUGUCACAUCAUUCAAUGCACUGGAUAUAUCAUUGCAUGGUUUAUGGCUCUUCUUGUCUCGUGGCUUUCGGUUUUUCAUUUUUUGUACUGGCGACACUAUCAGUUAGUUCACGGCCCUUGGUUUCAAAUGGAAAGUAGCAGGUGCAGAUCCCUGACACAAAAACUACACCCACAAAAAGAACAACUGCUGCAGUUUGAUGGCAACCUUGCACCAAACCUACUGCCACAAAAGGGCAGAUCAUCCCACCAACCCUUCCCAUUGAGCUUGCAACUCCAACACCUGUUGUCCUCACUGAAGUUGGG